UACGAAGGGGGCUAGCGUUGUUCGGAUUUACUGGGCGUAAAGCGCACGUAGGCGGAUCGUUAAGUCGGGGGGUGAAAUCCUGGAGCUCAACUCCAGGAACUGCCUUCGAUACUGGCGAUCUUGAGUCCGGAAGAGGUGAGUGGAACUCCUAGUGUAGAGGUGGAAUUCGUAGAUAUUAGGAAGAACACCAGUGGCGAAGGCGGCUCACUGGUCCGGUACUGACGCUGAGGUGCGAAAGCGUGGGGAGCAAACAGG
rnacentral:rRNA from 1 species